GACGAACGCUGGCGGCGUGCUUAACACAUGCAAGUCGAACGAAGAGCGAUGGAAGCUUGCUUCUCUCAAUCUUAGUGGCGGACGGGUGAGUAACGCGUAAUCAACCUGCCCUUCAGAGGGGGACAACAGUUGGAAACGACUGCUAAUACCGCAUACGAUCUAAUCUCGGCAUCGAGGAUAGAUGAAAGGUGGCCUCUACAUGUAAGCUAUCACUGAAGGAGGGGAUUGCGUCUGAUUAGCUAGUUGGAGGGGUAACGGCCCACCAAGGCGAUGAUCAGUAGCCGGUCUGAGAGGAUGAACGGCCACAUUGGGACUGAGACACGGCCCAGACUCCUACGGGAGGCAGCAGUGGGGAAUCUUCCGCAAUGGACGAAAGUCUGACGGAGCAACGCCGCGUGAGCGAUGACGGCCUUCGGGUUGUAAAGCUCUGUUAAUCGGGACGAAAGGCCUUCUUGCGAAUAGUGAGAAGGAUUGACGGUACCGGAAUAGAAAGCCACGGCUAACUACGU
rnacentral:rRNA from 1 species